rnacentral:rRNA from 1 species
GAUGAACGCUAGCGGCAGGCCUAAUACAUGCAAGUCGGACGGGAUUCAGGAGCUUGCUUCUGAUGAGAGUGGCGCACGGGUGCGUAACACGUAUGUAACCUACCUUUAUCAGGGGGAUAGCCUCUCGAAAGAGAGAUUAAGCCCGCAUAAAAUCACAGCACAGCAUUGAGUAAUGAUCAAAUAUUUAUAGGAUAAAGAUGGGCAUGCGGAACAUUAGCUAGAUGGCGGGGUAACGGCCCACCAUGGCGACGAUGUUUAGGGGAUCUGAGAGGAUGGCCCCCCACACUGGUACUGAGACACGGACCAGACUCCUACGGGAGGCAGCAGUAAGGAAUAUUGGUCAAUGGGCGGAAGCCUGAACCAGCCAUGCCGCGUGCAGGAAGACGGCCCUACGGGUUGUAAACUGCUUUUAUACGGGAAUAAACCCAGAUACGUGUAUCUGGCUGAAUGUACUGUAAGAAUAAGGAUCGGCUAACUCCGUG